GCGGUGGUGGUGUAAUGGUCAGCAUAGUUGCCUUCCAAGCAGUUGAUCCGGGUUCGAUUCGAUUCCCGGCCACCGCA
rnacentral:tRNA from 1 species